UAUUCUGCCCUACGGGGAAGGAUGAGAAGCUUCGACCAAGGUUCGACUCGAGCGUAGCGAGAGAACGUUGCCGCAGGCAACGGCCCGAAGGGCGAGGAGCGAUAGCGACGAGUUAUCCUUCCCCCUCUAUUC
rnacentral:sRNA from 1 species